CUUUAUUUCUGUCUGUUCUCUUUCUAAAUGCAACCACUCUCCCGGAGAAUCAAAAUAAUAGACAUAAACUAAUUUUUAAAUUCCUUGAAGAAGCGAAAAAGCUCUAUUUUAAGACUUUACUUGAUCGUUUCAGCAUGGGUUGAGAUUUCACCCACGUUUGUGAUGAAAUUUUAGCUCAGCCCUAUAUAAGAUGAACUUGCCACGUUAUCGUGAAACAAUUUCAGCUCAGUUAUCUGGGUUUAAAUUCAUCAUGGGUGGAACUCUCCGUGUAAUCAACUUUUCAAUAUAGACUAUAUAGUACAUCAAUUACUUGAAAAGAAUACGCAGACACGAAUGUUGGUGUAACGUCUUAGUUCUAUUUCUACGUGCGUGCGAGUGAAUGUGAAGUUAUCUACUAAGCAGUGGCGAAGCUACAAUCUUGGACAAAACCCUUGAGACCAUUCCAGCCAAUAUUACAAAGUUAUUGAACAUUGACAAAACAAACUUUGUCUCCCCCCCCCCCCCCCUUCAAUGUUGUGAACAACGCCGAAACAACUUUUGGUAAUAUACCAUGAUACAAGCUCAACAUUGAGUUGGGGGAGCGGGGGUUUAAGAAUGGCAACAUGAUUCAACAUGGAGUUUAUCAUAAAAAUA